AUGCUCGUUUCAACAUGACUGUUCCAGCUCUGACUGGGUCUCAGUUCCUGGGACGUCCCAGCAGAGGGAGAUUAUUUCUGUCCACAUGAAGAGGAGCAUCAAUGGGCAGGACAUCACAGUUACAGCUGCACCCAACCUGAACAGUGGCAUACAUUUCGCGUGUGCUUUAGAGAAGUGUGACAGCCCUGGGCCUUCUUCCUGUUCCUGCAUCCUCUCUAGUGAGAGCUUUCCUGCCGAAGGUCUGAAAGGACAAAAGUCUGCUUAUUAUUGAUACAGUAACAGCUUGUUGAUGACUAGAUUAUGUCCAUAUGGACUGAUCAACUGAUGGUGUUCAUGUGUGCAGGACUCGGCCUAAGCGUCAACAUUACAAUCCAGAGGGAGACGCUCAUUAAGGACGUGCGUUUGGAAAACUGCUCCGCUAUCAGAGGAGGGCCACCUUCUGUUUUGUAAGACAGCUGCUAUGUUUUCUCUGGUCAUGUUCACUGCCGUUUCAGUUAAAAGUGAAAAGAAAGUGUUUUUUUCAGCGCAAAGCUUUUACAACAAAUGAAGUGUGUGUGUGUUCCGCAGGUGUAUGCAGUGCUUCUUUGCAGGGUGUGUGUGGUCUCUCUCAGGUGAUGCUUGUACCUGGAGGACAGCCUCCACAACGGACAAUGUGACCACACAGGAUGUAUGUAGAAACCUCACGUCAGGACAGAACCAGACAAAGCCAGAAAUUCUGUCCAUGAGACCUGGUGAAGUUUCCAUCCAUGGUCGAAACGGUGCUGUUAUUCAAGGAAGGAACCUGGAAUCAGUCACAAAGGUCCGUUUCCAAGGAAACAUGGACUGCAAUCCAAAAGAGUCCCCAGUGUUGUCCCAUUCUGGAAACUCCAGUUCCGUUGAGUCGGUGAUGUUCCACAUUCCGAGUGGAACCAAAAGCACCGUGAGAGUGUGUGUGCUGACACCAGACGGCCAGUGUCAUGGCAACGCCAAACUCACCUACGCCUCCCAGCCGACCUGCAGAGGCCUUUCCCCAAAUACCACCUGGGCCAGUGGAGGCAGAGAGAUCUUGUUUGUGGGUUCUAAUCUGGAGUUUGUGGAGAAGGUGAAGCACAGUGGGUCAUCUGAAGAGAUCACCCCUGAACCUGGGAAACUCGGCUAUUCCACCCCCCCUGGUCUGUUGGACUCUCCUAUGCCCAUGCAGGAGUCUGUGAUGCUGAUAGUGGGGAACUACUCUGUGACCUGCAAAGGCAAGCUCACCUACCACCCAGACCCAGCACUUCACGAGCUUCACUACCACACGUACGGGCAAGGACAUGUCUGUCGUCAUACAGGUACAGCACCCCACUCCACACACAUUUCUGUGCUUCUCUGCUAACAGCAGCACGAAGGCGUUUUUGUCUGAAACUAGCUGAAGGAAUCAGGGCCAGGUUUAGGUCCUCUGGGGCCCGGGGCAGAAGCCUCCCCGAGGCCCCCCGUCCGCCCGCCAAAGAUUUAAAAAAAAAAAAUAUAUAUAUAUAUAUAUAUAUAUAAUUAUUAUUAUUAUUAUUAUUACUAUUGUUUUUAUCAAUAUAUAUUAGAGAGAGA
ensembl:lncRNA